ACGGGAUAGAGUUGCACACGCGCAUUGAGGCGUGUCUUCCCUGGUUCUGCGUCCGUGAAGCCUAGAGAUUCCCGAGCCUGGGUCACCCGGGCGGUGUCGCAUGUCGUCUGCGGGGAGGUUGGGGCUGCUCGCGCGAGGCGCUCUGGGUCUCAUUUCCGAGGCCGAAAAUGCUGGCUCCAAAGUGGUGCCCUGGGAGAUGAGGGCGACUCGCAGAUUCCACCCUAUUCUCUGAAUGGGCUUCGAGUCUCCAUGGUAACGGCCCCUCCCAGUUCCCCUGUGACUUCAUAGCUGCCCACGGGAGGGGAGAAAGCUGAUGUGAAGGGGCUGUGGGUUCUCAGCCAAGCUCUGUCUUUGAGGCCACCUACCCUAUACCACUCGUCCCGGAAAGGGUGAGCCGGUGACCUUUCACCCUCUCUGGGCCUCAGUUUCCCUUUUUGUGAAAUAAUGUCUGGUACCCCUGCUGUGCUCCCUUACUAUUUCAGGGCCCCGGGCAAGAGACACACUCUGUGUCUCAGUUUCCGCAUAGGUAAAGUGAGGAUGAUGUUAGAAUUUGAUGUUAAAAUUUAGGUGGUGGUUGUGAGAAUUAAGGGAACCUCAGAGCAAUGGCCAGCACACAAUGACCCUUCAAAUGUCAGCGGCUUUGAUGAUCACCAUUCUUACCUUUUCUUUGGAGAUUUGGACAAGUUACCGCCCCACCUUCCUCCAGGGUCUUUGUGUAUUGAUCUGCAGGUUGGAUGUAUUGGAUGUUACGACCACUAAACUUUCUUCUGAGCACACACGAGCAGUGGUGUUGUUCUCUCUGAGAAAUACUACAGGCUUUGGUGUUAAGACACUGGAAUUCCGGAAACCUGUCCCUGUCAUACCAGUUGCUGUGUGACCUCCGUCAAUCAUGGUUCUUUACUGAGCCCUGAGACUCCGCACGUGAAAAUGGAUGGGGAUGAACUUCCAGUCCAGGCAGUGCCACUGACUUUGCUUGGGGACCUGGGGCAAGCUCUGUGGCCCAGCAUUGCACCAUCUGUAACAACAUAACCAAGGGGUGCGCAAUUGAGCUUUGAGGUUAAUUUCGGUGCUAAAAUCCCGGUCAGUAGUUCCGUCAUCUUCACAGACCUCACCCUACCCAAUGCCCUUAUUGUGCUCCACAUCCCAAUCAACACUUACUGAUUCCAGAUUUGUAAUUUUUGCCAUUGUAGUGAGAAGUAAUUAACUAUUUUAUGGUUUUUUAAAUUUGAAUUUUUGACUAUCAGGAUUAGCAUAUUUUUUUUUUCUUCGUUAAAGACUAGUCAAGUGCAUUAGUGAGGAGGGGGGAAAGAGUAGACCAAGGAAUUUGGUCUGUAACUGACUGUGGACAAUACAUUGGUAGAACUCACUACCUUUGAGCCAGCCAGAAUCUUUUUAUUAUUCACUGGAUAUUCAGGUUUUGCCUCUGUAAAUUUUCUUUCAUUGCCAUUUUUUUCAAAUAGUUCAUUCAAUCUUUGUUUUCAGAUGUGCUUUCCACAAUCAGGUUACAAAUUCUCUGCCACUAAUGAUCAUUACAAUUCCUCUUCUCAGCC
rnacentral:lncRNA from 10 species